AGGGCCUUCCUAACAACUUACCAUCAGAAAAUUCAGAUGUUCUUUCUAACAAUCCUCUCUGCAAUGAAAAUGAACGUGUGCCGAAUCCCAAGAUUUUAUCCAAGCUGGCAGCAGCAUCUCCACUCCCCCUUCCUCAAGGUUAUCCAUGCAUUCAGGGGUGAAAUCCAGCAGGUUCCUGCUGGGAAAAGCUAGAUGCUAGAAGUCAUGGAAAGAUACGAAGCCAGGAAAUCAAAGGCUAAUUAGCUCAGCACAAUAAAUCCAGCAAGAAGCUGGCACAGGCUAAAGCGUUCCAUCUCCUCCUUUCACUUCUCUUCAAAUCCUUCGGCCCUCUUUUCUUUAUAGCCAGACAUUCUGGCUAUUCCUUCCUGCUGAGACAGGUGGAAUGAACAAAGACGUAGUAGCCAUUCUUCCCUGCCCAGGCGGUUGAAAUGAAUGAAAAUUAUUUAUGGAACUUAUGCAAUGGAAUUGCUGACUCCCUUGGCAAAAGCUGAGCCUCACAUAAGCAUCCUGAGUAUUUCAAGUUCGUAGCAGGGAAGACGGUCAUUCUGCCAGGCUACAGGAUGCCUAGAAUUGGGCAUGGACGCUAGGAAAGGAAGCCGAAGCAAAUCACUGAGAGGGACAUGCUUUGGUAUAAGCAUCACCUUACCUAUGAUGUAGAUAUGCGGCUGAUUUGUACCUGCUCAGUGUCCUAUUGAGAUGUGAACGUCAAGUGGAAAAUGUCAAGACCCCUACUUUCUGUUUGUAUAUAAGAAACUGUUCUGACCUAGGCUUCCCAAGAGCAUGAAGCAAACUUCUU